rnacentral:rRNA from 1 species
CCUUGACAUACUAAGAACUUUCCAGAGAUGGAUUGGUGCCUUCGGGAACUUAGAUACAGGUGCUGCAUGGCUGUCGUCAGCUCGUGUCGUGAGAUGUUGGGUUAAGUCCCGNAACGAGCGCAACCCUUUUCCUUAUUUGCCAGCGGGUAAUGCCGAGAACUUUAAGGAUACUGCCAGUGACAAACUGGAGGAGGGCGGGGACGACGUCAAGUCAUCAUGGCCCUUACGGCCAGGGCUACACACGUGCUACAAUGGUCGGUACAAAGGGUUGCUACCUCGCGAGAGGAUGCUAAUCUCAAAAAGCCGAUCGUAGUCCGGAUCGCAGUCUGCAACUCGACUGCGUGAAGUCGGAAUCGCUAGUAAUCGCGGAUCAGAAUGCCGCGGUGAAUACGUUCCCGGGCCUUGUACACACCGCCCGUCACACCAUGGGAGUUUGUUGCACCAGAAGUAGGUAGUCUAACCGCAAGGAGGACGCUUACCACGGUGUGGCCGAUGACUGGGGUGAAGUCGUAACAAGGUAAGCGUAGAUGA